GAUGAACGCUGGCGGCGUGCUUAACACAUGCAAGUCGAGCGAAGCACUUAAGUUCGAUUCUUCGGAUGAAGACUUUUGUGACUGAGCGGCGGACGGGUGAGUAACGCGUGGGUAACCUGCCUCAUACAGGGGGAUAACAGUUAGAAAUGGCUGCUAAUACCGCAUAAGACCACAGUACUGCAUGGUACAGUGGUAAAAACUCCGGUGGUAUGAGAUGGACCCGCGUCUGAUUAGGUAGUUGGUGAGGUAACGGCCCACCAAGCCGACGAUCAGUAGCCGACCUGAGAGGGUGACCGGCCACAUUGGGACUGAGACACGGCCCAGACUCCUACGGGAGGCAGCAGUGGGGAAUAUUGCACAAUGGGCGAAAGCCUGAUGCAGCGACGCCGCGUGAAGGAUGAAGUAUUUCGGUAUGUAAACUUCUAUCAGCAGGGAAGAAAAUGACGGU
rnacentral:rRNA from 1 species